rnacentral:rRNA from 1 species
UACGUAGGGGGCUAGCGUUGUUCGGAAUUACUGGGCGUAAAGGGCGCGUAGGCGGUUCGGUAAGUCCUGUGUGAAAUCCCUCGGCUCAACUGAGGAACUGCACGGGAGACUGCCGGGCUUGAGUUCGGGAGAGGGAAGCGGAAUUCCGGGUGUAGCGGUGAAAUGCGUAGAUAUCCGGAGGAACACCGGUGGCGAAGGCGGCUUCCUGGACCGACACUGACGCUGAGGCGCGAAAGCUAGGGGAGCAAACGGG